UACGUAGGGGGCAAGCGUUGUCCGGAUUUAUUGGGCGUAAAGAGCGUGUAGGCGGCUAGGUAGGUCCGUUGUGAAAACUCGAGGCUCAACCUCGAGACGCCGAUGGAAACCAUCUAGCUAGAGUCCGGAAGAGGAGAGUGGAAUUCCUGGUGUAGCGGUGAAAUGCGCAGAUAUCAGGAGGAACACCGGUGGCGAAGGCGGGUCUCUGGGCAGUAACUGACGCUGAGGAGCGAAAGCGUGGGGAGCGAACAGG
rnacentral:rRNA from 1 species